rnacentral:piRNA from 1 species
GCAAUGUGCCGGCAGCAUCUGUGGA